AUAAAUAGAGGCAGUACAAUUUUUUUAUUGUGUCAGAGUUAGAUCAAAGAUUUAAAUCGAUUAAAAAAACAAAAUCAUGUCUAACAAGAUGUUUUGAUAUAAUUUAAGAAAAGCAGGUCUUAUAGCCCAUCAACUAAAAUCUUUCAGUUAUUAGGGUUCUGUUGGUGCUCAAUUGGGUUGUUGAUGUUUCUGUUGUUAGGGU